rnacentral:rRNA from 1 species
GAUGAACGCUGGCGGCGUGCCUAACACAUGCAAGUCGAGCGGAGUUAUAAGGAAAGAAGCUUUCGGGUGGAAAGAAUUAUAACUUAGCGGCGGACGGGUGAGUAACGCGUGGAUAACCUGCCUUUUACAGGGGAAUAACAGUGAGAAAUGACUGCUAAUGCCCCAUAAGCUUACAGUAUCGCAUGGUACAGUAAGAAAAGAUUUAUCGGUAGAAGAGGGGUCCGCGGCUGAUUAGUUAGUUGGUAAGGUAACGGCUUACCAAGACGAUGAUCAGUAGCCGAUCUGAGAGGAUGACCGGCCACAUUGGGACUGAGACACGGCCCAAACUCCUACGGGAGGCAGCAGUGGGGAAUAUUGCACAAUGGAGGGAACUCUGAUGCAGCAACGCCGCGUGAAGGAAGAAGGCCUUAUGGUUGUAAACUUCUAUCAACAGGGAAGAAGAAAGUGACGGUACCUGAAUAAGAAGCACCGGCUAAAUACGUGCCAGCAGCCGCCGUAACAC